CCCGCUGAACUUAAGCAUAUCAAUAAGCGGAGGAAAAGAAACCAACAGGGAUUGCCUUAGUAACUGCGAGUGAAGCGGCAACAGCUCAAAUUUGAAAUCUGGCUCUUUCAGGGUCCGAGUUGUAAUUUGCAGAAGAUGCUUUGGGUGUGGCUCCGGUCUAAGUUCCUUGGAACAGGACGUCAUAGAGGGUGAGAAUCCCGUAUGCGACUGGGUGCCUAAGCUCAUGUGAAGCUCCUUCGACGAGUCGAGUUGUUUGGGAAUGCAGCUCAAAAUGGGUGGUAAAUUUCAUCUAAAGCUAAAUACUGGCCAGAGACCGAUAGCGCACAAGUAGAGUGAUCGAAAGAUGAAGAGCACUUUGAAAGAGAGUUAAACAGUCCGUGAAAUUGUUGAUAGGGAAGCCGCUUGCGACUAGACUUGCAUGCAGUCGAUCAUCCGAUGUUCUCACCGGUGCACUCGAUUGCAUUCAGGCCAGCAUCGGUGUCGGUGCUUAGAUAAAGGCCUUGGAAAUGUAGCUUCUCUCGGGGAGUGUUAUAGCCCACUGUGCUAUGUAGCCUACCGGGACCGAGGACCGCGCUUCGGCUAGGAUGCUGGCGUAAUGGUUGUAAUCGACCCGUCUUGAAACACGG
rnacentral:rRNA from 1 species